rnacentral:lncRNA from 10 species
GACCCCUUGAGGAAAGCCCAGCGACGCCGGGCCAGCGCAUUCUUAUUUUAUGUAUGAGCAAACUAUGGAAUGGAAAAGAGAUUAUGAGUUAUUACUUGAUUUGAUUUGCCCUAAGUGUUUUUUAAACGUAUGGAUUUAGCGCCAACAUUUAAAAAGAAGGUAUAUUUUAAUUAAAAAUCAGGAAUUGAUUUAAUUUAAAAUUUGGCUCCUCUUACAGGAAGAUCUGGCAAGAGUUAGCGUGCAGUUCUACAUUGUGACAAUUCAUGAGAGCUAAGGACUGGCUGUCUCUUGGGACAAAUAGGCUUUCUUGAGUCUGCAUGAGGCCCUCACCAGAUACAGCCACCUGAUCUUGGACUUCACAGCCUCCAGAAAUAUGCCCUGGAAUACACUUGUGUCAGUGACAAAUGCUGCUUUGCUGUGCUACAUCGAGUACAAGUCCAGUGAUUCAAGUUUGACACACCACACCACGGUGGAUGUGCCUUGUCAUGACACAUCUUCUCAGCAGCACUAGAAGAUACAUCCAAAGUCCUGUGAGCAAGGACACAGCGAGAAGAUGGCUGUCUACAAGCCAGGAAGAGAGUCCUCACCAGAACCAAACCCUGCUGGACUUUGAUCUUGGACUUCCCAGCCUCUAAAACUGUGAAGACAUAAAUUUCUGUUGUUAAACCCACACAGGUCUGUGGUAUCUGUUUAUUAUGGCAGCCCAGUAAGACUAAGACAGGCCAUCACAAGACAUGAAUGUUUUGGACCUUCUCUUGGGCCCUAGUAAACAGAAAUCAGGCUAUUAAACUAAUCCACGUUCUAAACUGUUAUUGCUACUGGAAAAUGGUCCCGAUCCAGACCCCAAAAGAGGAUUCU